rnacentral:rRNA from 1 species
GUGGGGAAUUUUGGACAAUGGGGGCAACCCUGAUCCAGCAAUGCCGCGUGCAGGAAGAAGGCCUUCGGGUUGUAAACUGCUUUUGUACGGAACGAAACGGUCUGGGUUAAUACCCUGGGCUAAUGACGGUACCGUAAGAAUAAGCACCGGCUAACUACGUGCCAGCAGCCGCGGUAAUACGUAGGGUGCGAGCGUUAAUCGGAAUUACUGGGCGUAAAGCGUGCGCAGGCGGUUUUGUAAGACAGGCGUGAAAUUCCCGGGCUCAACCUGGGAAUGGCGCUUGUGACUGCAAAGCUGGAGUGCGGCAGAGGGGGAUGGAAUUCCGCGUGUAGCAGUGAAAUGCGUAGAUAUGCGGAGGAACACCGAUGGCGAAGGCAAUCCCCUGGGCCUGCACUGACGCUCAUGCACGAAAGCGUGGGGAGCAAACAGGAUUAGAAACCCCGGUAGUCC